ACAGAGGGGGCAAGCGUUGUUCGGAAUUACUGGGCGUAAAGGGCGCGUAGGCGGCCUGUUAAGUCGAACGUGAAAUCCCCGGGCUCAACCCGGGAACUGCGUCCGAUACUGGCAGGCUUGAAUCCGGGAGAGGGAUGCGGAAUUCCAGGUGUAGCGGUGAAAUGCGUAGAUAUCAUUUGGAACGCCAAUGGUGAAAACAGGUAGCUGGGGCUGUGCUGACACUGAGACACGAAAGCCAGGGGAGCAAACGGGA
rnacentral:rRNA from 1 species